UGGCAACUAGUUUUUGAAUGUUGGAAAACAUUAUAACAGUUUUAAUAAUUUCUAAAAUAAAAGAACCUGCUCUUUUCAAUUGCUGAAAAUGAAUGGAGAAAGACACAUGAAAAAGGGGAAAGAGUUUAAGAAUCCACAUUUGCCACUCCUGUCCAGUCUUGCCUUGCCUUAACAAGCUCCUGACAAUCUCUUCGAAAUACGGGUAUACUCUGAGAACCUGUUCUUGGCUUUGAAGGUACAAGCACACUGCACUGCGUAUCUUAUGCAUGUGACUUCAAAUGCAGUAGCAGAUUAUAAAAGGUAAGUGUCAAUGCAGACUCAUGUAUCCAAGGAGAAGCCUGAACUCUCACAAUAACUCAAGUAUACUAAUAUUUAAAUAGAAACUUUAUAUCACUACUGUGCGAUAAGAUGAAUUGUCAGGUUGCAAAAACAAAUGGUAAUAACAUUACUGAAGAAAUAGUAGGACUAUGAAGUUACAAGGUAUCAUAAACCCCAAAUUUUUUAAUACCUACUUCUGUUUUGAUUUGAAUAUAUUUUAUGUUGAGACACUCAAGGCCUGUUGAACUGGACCACAGCCAGGAAAUGCCUGUAUAGACAGUGUGCUCAAUAAAUACUAUUGUUUCUCACCUACACUGAAAACUCUUUUUGAUUAAAUUAACAGAAUCCAGGAUCUUAUCUAUUGACAAUUUAAAUCAGUGUGUUCUGAUGUAGAAACAGAAUAAGCAAAGUAAAGAAGAUACUCCAAAUAAUCUCCAUUCCAUUAAGAUAAGGUGCCAUUGCUUCACUCCAUUUUGUCAUUUGCUUAGGUAAGUUUGUUUGCUUCUAAAGGUUAAUAUAGAUAGCAGAUGAAUUAUGUGUCUGUAUUUCAUGAAGGGGGAAAAGGUUCUGAGUGAUAAUACAUAAGGUGUAGAAAUUAAAAAUUCCAAACAGGAGAAUUCCAAAGGCUAGUUAAUAAUAUUGAGAGCUGUUUGCUUGUUUGGUGUUUUGGUUUUUUUUUUGUUUGUUUGUUUUUGUUGGGUUUUUUUUUUAAUCAGUACAGUUUAUAUUUUUAAACGGUUUUUUUUCCUGUCUUAUUCUUUUUUUCCAAAGAAAAAUCUUAUGUGGCAUACAUACAGCAGAUUAUUUUGAAACAUAUUUUGAAAUAACGGAGUGUAGAUUUUCAGGAAGCCUGAGAACCUGUGUAAAUCUGGGCAGAGUGUGUUUCUCCUGAAUGCAGAGAUCCAGAGAAAUUCUGAAUUGAUAUAGAAAUUAACCAGCAAGUGCCAGGAACAGUACAACUGCAGUGGGGGGAAGCUUUGGAUGAACAAUUUUGCUUUUCAGAAGAGUCAAUUAAGUGCCGUGGAGCGUACAGCAACUCAACUGCUCCAACACUCAAGCUGGCACAGUUUCAGUGACAGUGGCAUCUACCUCUACACUGCAUUGCAGUAAAGAAUGUAAACUUUAACUUGAAAUGAGAUUGAAGGGGCUACGAGCAAGUUGUGACUUGCCUAAACAAAGAGAAUUUCCCUUCAUUUCUCUAGUAGCAAUCACCAGUGCUAUUUCCAUAAGGCAAAGUUGCUGGUGUAAGAACUACUUUGGCUGAGUUUAGGUCAACUAGUUUACCUCUGUUGGGAAAAAUACAGCAUGACCACAUUCAUUGUCAAACUCAGAUAGCAAAGGAACCAGAAAUUUGGCACUUCAUGUACUUGCCAAAUGAUGCUGUCAUUUAUUAUUGUACGUUACUCAGGUUUUACUUUCUGAGUGAUUUAAUUUUCUUUUUCUCAAGAGAAUUUCUAUGGAAAAGAUUAUGGGAGAAACUUUGCAGAGCUACUCUUACUUUGUACCUUUCUUCUAAUAUAGUUCAUUAUCAACCUUGAAAAAUGUUUGAUGUCAUAAAUAGUAAUGUCCAGCACAGGAGCUUGAGGAAUAAUAUAUUUAUUUUUAUUGACCACAAUACCGCUAUAAUUUUCUACAGGCUGAUGCUAAAGGCUUUUUAUUUUAGGUUGAAUUAGCUGACAUUUCCUUUAAUACUCAAAAUUCUAAGAGUGCUUUUCCCACCAAGGGUACCAAAAUUCAGUAUCCCAUCUGGUUUUCAAGUUCAAGAUUUUUUUUCCUCAAGUAUAUAUGCAUUGAAAAAGCUACAAACUAGCUACAUGUAAAAGAUUAAGAAUGAAACUCAUGUAAUUAAAGACCCAUUUUGCCUGUCAUUCCAAUGUAAGGUAAAACAAUGCUUUGCCCUUCUGUUGAUUCUUCUCUUUCAACUUUCACCUCUUAUUUUGAAGAAUUGUCUAGCAUUGUACAUUUCAAAUAUAAAAUUGUUAAUAUGGAAGGUAAAAAUUUAGAAUGAGACAGAAAAGGUAUAUACCGUAGCCAAAAAGGUUUGAGGAAUGUAAUUUCAUUGAUAUUAGUCCAUACAAUCCUGUUCAUCUGGGAUGGCACGUAGGCCUCUAGGAUUUAUUAUUAAUGAUUAAAACUCAUAGCAUGGCAUUCUUUUUUUAUUGUCCUUUACAACCUGUCAUAACAUAUUCAGUCUUUCUACAUGACUUUACAAUCUGAAUAUUUGAAUCUCAAAAACUUUAGUCCCUGGCGAGGUUCUAGGGAAACUUCCUUUUCCCUGAUGACAUACGUAAGAAAUAGACUUCUCAACAGAAAAGGACUUUGAUUGGCAGCUAAAAUAAAAAAUUAAUUCGAAGUAUUCAAGCUCAAAACCAUCUUCAGGUUGAUGGAUAUGGCAUUAUACAUGAAAUGUUAGCAGAUCCUGAUUUAGGAUAAAGCUGAGCAUGUGCCAGAAAAAUAAGUAUUUUUUUUAUUAAUCACACAUAGUCAAAAUCAAGUUAUGGUCUAGGGAUUACAGAAACAAAAAACACAAGGAAAGGUGUUACAGGUUUGCUUGUUUUAAAGAAAUGACCUGGCUGGGAAUUUUUUCCCUGUCCCAGUGUGAAAGAAAAGUGUUGAAUGAGGCAGAGGGAGGGAGAGGGAGGUAGCGGGUAGCCCCACAUUCCAAGCUAAUUGUCUCAGAAGACAGUGGGGGGGAGGUGAAUUUUGCUCCUGACAAAACUGCUUCUUUUUUUUUGCUCUUGUCCGGGACUCAGGGAGGGAUUGCGUGGACAGAAAAAAGCUCCAGGUUUUCAUCUUUGUUUUUGGCCAAGUUGCCUGGUUGCCUUGGCCCCGGUCCGCCUCCGUUUCCCUCAGCCCCAGCCCUGCCCACUGUCUGGUCUGCCUCGGAUUUCAUCAGAGAAGCCAGGGCCAUCUGCGGAGAAACUUCUGAGAAACUCCUCCGUUCCGGUAUUGGCAGCAGCUUGUACCCAUCUAUGAAGCGUGGGGGAAUCCCAGCCACAGCCAGCCGCCGACAACGUGAGUCCCCCUUUCCCCUUUUCUCCUUCCCCUCUCGGCGUGUGAGGGAAUCUCCCUUCGGCUUCUCCCGCCCACCGGGGCCCCCACGCGGCGACCCCAGAGCCCAACAGCGCCCCCUGCUGGCCACCACCGAGCAACUGCAGGCUCUGCUCCACCAGGGACCCAACAGCGCCCCCUGCUGGUCGUGGUUAGAAUUGUGCCGAAAGGCAAAAGACUUUUUCUUUGGGUGGGAAUUUGGGUGCAGGAUUGUAGUUUGUUUUUUGUUCUUUUGGUGUGCUACCUAUACACAUAUAUGCUUUAAUAAAGGUCUGCUUUCUUUUUCUUUCUUCACAUUUCUUCCACUGGACCCUCUUAAUUUUGGAUUUACAAUUGCUUAGAGGGGGAAGCUUGGUCUUCCUCAUAACUCACCCUCCUUAGCAAACAGUUCUGUCUCGUUAAAUUGAGACAAAAGAAUACUUUGAGGAUAUCCAAACUAGGCUGUUGGCCUCUAUCCAACUAGCAUUUACUGUAACAUUGGAUAAAGUUGGUAAAAAAGAAAGGAAAAAAUAAUGAGUUUGCUUCUUGGUAAGAAAAUAGGAGACAUUGGAAGAUUAGGAUAAUAUGAACCUGUAAACUGACGAGGGUGUUAGGAACUGGGAAAGAAUGAGGAUAACUGAAUUUAAAACUUGUUUGAUUCUAUCUGGUGUCUAAGUCAAAAAUUUUUUAAGGAUUCCAGAUUCCUCAACCUGGUAUCUUUCCUAAUUCAGGAGAGCAGAUGUUCCACACCAAUUCUUCCAUUUUCUUUUAUUCAUGCUAAAAAAUGAACCUAGAUUAAGAUAAGAGAAUGAAAUUUAUGGCAUAUAGUGAAUACAGAUGCACUUUAUUUCCUGACUUUUAUAGAGUAGUAGAAAGUUCUCUUUUUUAAAAAAUAAAAUAAUGUCACUGGUUUCUACCUCCUCCAACUCCUGCUAAAAUCAGAAGAUAAAUUUAACAAAUACACUAUGAUUCCAGUGCUUGUCUACAGAAAAAAAACACUUCAUUUUUUCUUUAAAAAAAUGGAGAAGUUUCAUUAGAUUAUUAUUUAAACUCGGCUCAGUCUUCCUGGAAUUUUCAAAUUGACUGCUGAAGGACAAAUCUUUUAUUUGUAAUGUUUUUACUUUUCUCAAGUUCUUAUUUCUGCAGGGAACUCUGUAGAUAAUGUUUUUUUCAUGUAGAUAUAUUCAGAGACAAUAAAUAUUUUCUGUAUAGAAGUGGCUGCAUAAUGAGAUAUUUUCUUCCUCUGUUGUGUAACUUGAUACCAAGAUCUGCCAAUUGUCAUGUUAUGAUUUUGCUUUGAGAUAUUUUGUUACAUUUCUUUCUUUGCUUUGAAAUCAACAUGAUAGGUUUGAUACAUAUAAAACAUUUAUACCAUUUAAUAAUUGCAAAGAGCUUUUCUCUUUGUUAUUAUUGCUGAACAUUUUUAGGCGUGGUUCUGUUUUGCACUGAAUUCUGAGCAUAACCCACCAGAUGCAAUAAUUUAUGCCUGUAAGAAAUUAGACUUGUGAACACUUAUUUUCUGAACAUUGUCAUAACUAGAUUUCUGUAGAGUUCCUUCUAAUUUACAUUAAUUUUAAUUAUUUUUUUCGGCUCAUUUUCCUUGCACAAUUCAGCAGGGACAGCAUAGAAAUUAAGUCUAAAUACCGAUCUAAAAAUUGUUAUAUUCAGUCUUCUCAUUUUUCAAGUCUACUAUUUUACAGAUAUUUGGAAAUAAGUAUAAAAUACUGUUUCUUUGAAAAAGUAGAACACUAGAGUUCUUUAUAAGCUUCCCACGACCUUUCAUUUUGGAGUAGAUUCCUGUAUGAGACACUUCUGCUGGAGUGAUUUGAUUCUGCAGAAUAAUAUAGUUCUUAAAUAAGAGUAUGAAUAGCUUUUCUUUUUACUUGCCUGUUUUCAAUCAAUAGAAAACUUUUUUUUUAGAAGAGUUUAGUUUAUCAACCAGUGUCCCCAGUUCUGUGUAGAAGUGUCAGAAAACCAAACUAUAUUUGUAGCUUUUAUAGGCCCGUAACAACAUUUGAGGAUGCGUCAUGAACAAAAGAACAGCUGAUGGAACAUUUGCAGGAUGGGCUAAUGCAUCCACAAUACAGUUUGCUCAUGUAUGAAAAAAGGAGAAAUGAAAAAAUUGUCCCUUUUGUCUAUCUACAAUAGAAACUCCUCUUUAAAAAAGAAACAUCUCUUAUUUAAAUUUUAAUCCAUCAACACUUGGAGUAUCAUGAAAUUACACUCAUUAAUUUUGCAAGAGACACCAAACCUGGGGAGAGGUGUAGGGAGUGGACCAGGGCAGGGCUUCUGUUGAGAGGGACCUCAUGAGGGUGGAGAAAUGGACUAAUAGGAAGUUUAAGAAAUUUAACAAAGACAAAUGCAGAAUCCUGCACCUGGGAAGGAAGGCCUCCUUGAGACAAUGCAGGCAGGAGACUGACUAGCUGGGGCACAACUCCAUGGCAAAGACCUUGGGGCUCUCAGGAAGAAAGUGACCUAAACAUGAACCAACAUAGUUUCCUGGCAGCAGAGAAGGUCCUCAGUAUCUGAGGCUGUAUUCGCUGAGGUAGAACCAGUAUUUUGGGAAAAGUUAUUAUCUGCCCUGUACAUGGCAUUCCUUAGCCCAGACUUAGGUACUAUGUGCAGUUUGGGUCUCAGUUUACAAGAAAACUUGAGUAUGAUUUACAGGCAAAACACUGGUAAACUCCACAGAACCACCAAGAUAAUUGGGGUGUGGAGCACAUGCCCUGUGAGGAGGUGCAGAGGGAACUGGGGUUGCUUAGAAGGAAAAGAAGUGGCUUGGAAGGGACCUGAUAGCAGCCUAACAAUAAAUCUCAGGAAGACACUGACCAGAAGGCUGGAUUUAUCAGUUUAUUUCCAGUAGGAGAACUGUAAUAUGAAACCAAUGAAUUUGUAGAGUAGGGUUUGUCUAAUAUAAUACAUAGAAAAUUGAUCAUAAAAUUAUUGUACAGUAAAUCUUUGCUGAGUUUUAGGUAGGUGUAGUGUCUGAGGAGUGCUUCAUUUGUUCAUAAUUUGGAACAUCUAAUUUUAAUUUCUAAGAAGUCAAUAGUAAUCCAAAAUAAAAUGAGACUGAAAGAAGUCUUAGUGAAACCUUUACGUGGAUAUAAAAUAGUUUCUUAUUUCUUUUAUCUGGAAGUUUUGAGCAGACAAGUAUUUUCCAGCAUAGCUAUCAACACUUCCAAACAACUGAAGAAAUAACAUAAACUAGCACAAAAAAAGAAGUUUCCCAUACUCACUGUGUUUUCAUUUAAUAUUCUUGAUGUUAAUAAAUUAUUUCAAUAGAAUGUAAUAAUAAUAGAUUUCUCUAUGACAGGAGCAAAUUUUCAUUUAAAGCAAGACCAUCCAUUAUAAUCAGAGACACAGUACUUAAACUGAAGAUCACCACUCAGUUAAAAUAAAAAAUAAUGAAAGUGUCAUCUUUAAUAGAAAAUGUCACAUGAAUACAUGACAAGUGGUUCAUAUUCAAAAUGUUUUCUCUAAGUCAUGUAUGUAAUUUUAGAUUUUAGAACUUAAAAAGCACUUUACUGCUUUUCAGUUGCCAUGAGGCACUACAUCUAUAUUUUUAUUUUUAUUUGACACAUCAGAGUCCAUAAGGCUACUUAACUGUAUGUUUUUUUUGACAGUAGACAACCACUGAAACAAAUAUGCAUUAAAUCUACAAAGAGUAAUUACAAAUGGAAGUGGGCAGACACAACUUAAAGUUGCGUUUGAUUCUAAGGACUUCUGCAAUAUAGAAAAUUUAGAAAGGGCUUUGAGUCGUCUGUGAGUAUCAGUGUGACCCUGAGACUAAAUACCAAAACCUUGGGCAACACAAUAAUAAAAUAAAAGAUAAAGAUUUGUGACUCCAUUAUUUGGUACAGAUUUGUAAAUGAAAUAUUGCUGUCUCAAUCAAGGAGGCUAGCAUAAUAUUUGCAACGAUGUGCUCAGGAUUAUGGAAAUAGUGUGGUUUUGACUAUAAAAAGUUUAUAGAGAAAUGAAAAAAAGUACAAUACCUAUUCAUCAUAAACCUGUGGUGAAACAAAAAGGGUCAAAAUUUUUAUUUUUAUUUGUCUAUUGAUCAUAUUAUGUUACCUAUUACUUAUUUAAUUCUUGUUAUAAAGAAGGAUAUGAAUCACUAAAAAUCAUAAUAAUAUAUAUUUUUUUAAUCUGGUUCAUUUCCCAAACACAUACAAGAGUAUUUUUUCUUCAUGAAAGUGCCUCACCUCUCAUUAAAUAAAAUGCUGUGAUUUUUCUCAAACACCAUCUACAACAUUGUCACCUUUUCUUAACUUUAAAGCAAAAUUAUACCAAAUAAGAUUAGUGAGUAAUAUAUAUUGAUUGAUGAUUAAUUAGGUCUUCUAGGAGCAAGUCUGCUCACCAAGUAUAUACACCAUGUAUUCCAGCAUCUGUUGUUUUAAUUCCAGAGCUGUGUAGGGAAUGUAUUACCUUUUUAUUCAAACAGAAAACAUUAAGAGGACAGUUCAGAAAGACAGAGAGGGAGAUAGCACCAGGACCCAACAGUACACAUUAAAGCUUUCUACGUAAAAUGAAAAAAUGAAGUUGAUUUACAGGUCACAAAAUGGCAUAAUGUCUCAUUGUAAUCUAUAUUGGAAAACUAGAAAGUGACAAAUAUAGCUUAAAGAAAAUGUAGAUCCUGGGGAGAACAGUCCAUUAAACCAUGCAAUACAACAGAAUUGCUUAAAAUGAUAUCUUAAGAGGAUUGUAGAAUGAUGUAAGUAGGUACAUACAACAUGCUAGAGAAAAACAACCUGAACACCAGAAAUCUUCUACAUUUUAUUAAAAAUUUUAGAGCAUACUGACAAGUUGAGGCUAGAAGAGGCAAAUCAGAUUUUAUGAUUUGGCCUUUUUUAAAAAAAUAAACUUUAUUUUAAAAGCAAUCUUUGGUAAAAGUUUUCUUACAGAAGGUCACUAGUUAAAAUGAAGAAUGCUUACAACAAGGAGUGAAGUUCCAACAUGAAUAGAAAUACAGCACAGCAGCAGAAAGUUAAACUGGUAGUUGUAGACAAGAAUAAUCGUAGUAGAGGCCAGGAAGAGCUCCAAGUCCUUGCAUCUGGACCCUAUCAGUUUGAAUGCAUGCAUCCCUAAUUCCAUUUAAUCAAGUUCUGUUCAUAUACUGUACACAGAGUUAAAAAUAGUAUAUUUGCACUACUCCUCUGUACUGACGCUAGAUGUUACAGGAAUAUGACAUAAAAGCUACAGCUGUUAGAGUUCUCUGAUUUCUCUUGUUUAACAAGAAAAUUAUAAAACAUAUUCUGGUUAAAAAUGAGAGGAAAGAAAAAUAUAGCCAGGACUAAAGACUGUCAUAAACCCAUUUCUGAGUUGCUUCAAAAUCUAAACCAAGUUCAGGAGGAGACCUUCAACAAGGUGAUCUUAAAUUUCAAAUUAACAAUGAGAAAAUAACAAUUAAAAAUAAAAAGAGAGAGAGAAUGGAAAUCAGUCUGUUAGUGUGUUUUUCCCUCCUAAUUUGGGUGUUUUCUCAGCUUUCUGUAUAGAGCUGAUAUUGAAAACUAUUUUUUUAGAAACAGGUUUGAAGCGUAGUGUAAGGAAUAAAAGAAAAAAAGUCAACCAAACAAGCUCUGCUUAAUAGGGUCCAGAUAGAGUAAUUCCAGGGUUUCACUCUGUUUUAGACCAGAGAAUUAGAAGACUAUGUAAUUCCGUCCACCCAAUGUGACAAUGCUCCAUGGAAAUGUGCAAUUAUAUACUUAUGGUUGUCUAUGCUCUUUAUUUACAGAUAUAAAUCUCUAAUUAAAACUAUUUUUAUUGAAAGCACCACAGAUAAAUGUAUACAAUAUAUGAAGUAUUAAAUCGAGACAUUCCAAUAUUUAACAUUGCAAAAAUGUGAUAUUAGAAAAGUAGUCGUAGGCAUGAGGAACUACUAAGGCAUGAGGAACAUAUUUUAUUUCAAUUUUAUGAAUAAAUCUGAAAAGCUAUCCUAAACCUGGAUAUCAAUUAAGAGAGUGCCACACUGAGAGCAUAAUCUCUACUAUAAAACCUCUCAAUUUCUAAUUUCUGUUUCCUAAUAUUUCUGAAAGAUUUUGUCUCUUCUCUCAGCACUGUUAGUGGGCAUGCUGUUGAUUCGAUAUCCUUCAGUCUAUGGGCUUCUCUGAAAAACCUGUGGAGAAUACAGGAACACAUGAAGAAAGGAGGGAUCAGCAAAACAUUGAGACUCAGUGAAUGCCAUACUUUUUAAAGAUAAGAGAUCUUCCUCUAUAGUAUGAACUCAAAAAAUCCUGUUGGUGCAAUGUCUAAUAUAAUGCUGUGGUCAUUCUCUGAAGGGGUUCAGAUUCCAAAGAGCUCAAACAUUUAGAAAAUCUCAAAGCUCAAGCAUUUUUUUGGAGUUAUGUGUUGCAGAAUUUUUUUGUUUCAGCCUGCUUGAAUGUUGAUGAAAAUCAGAAUAUGUAACUAUAAUUAAGGCUCCUCUCAUGUCACAGAAGACCACAAUUAGGUCACCCUGAAGCUUUCCCUUUUCCAGGCUGAACAAUCCCAGUUCUCUCAGCCUUUCCUCACAGGAGAGCUGCUCCAUCCUUCUGAUCAACUUAGUGACACUCAUCUGUGUCACUUGCUCCAACAUGUCCCUAUCCUCCUGUGUUGGGGACUCCAGAGCAGUACUAAAAGUAGGAUCUCACCACAGAGGACCGGGGAUACAAUCACCUCUCUCAGCCUGCUGGCCACUCUUCUUUUGAUGCUGCCCAGAAUACAAUUUGGCAAUGCUAUUGGAUUCUACCUUCUCUGUAAUAGUGUCAGAUUUUCUCAGACAAAUAUUCCACUGCUUUACAGGCCAAUGUUUCAGAAUUCAUGAAGCUUGAAAGAACCACUGGAGGUCAUCUGGUCCAACUUCCCUGCUCAAGAAGGGCCACCUAGAGCAGGAUGCCCAGGACCAUAUCCAGAUGACUUUUGAAAUCUCCAAGGAUGAAGAUUCCACAACUUGGCAACCUGUUCUGGUGACUGAAAUUAGUGAACAAUUGAGCCUUGUAAAUUGUGUUUGAAAGUGCUGGAUGAACUCAAGGAUCCAAACCUGUUUGACCAAGGGGAUUUUCAAAUGAUUUUUAUUUUCGGUAAACACAGGAGAACAGGAAAAAUGCAAGAAGGGACGGAUGGUAAAGAUGUGGUUUAAACCUGAGUUUGCCUGGAUGAAUUUGAUACCCUGACAGUAAAAGAAAAAGAAAUAGGAAGUUGGGAGGAGACACAGCCAGGAGAGCUGACCCCAACUGACCAAAGGAACAUUCCACACUAUAUGACAUCAUGCUCAGCAUAUCAGACUGAGGAGAAAAAGCGGGAGAAGUUUGGAGUGACGACGUUUGUCUUCAUAAAGUCUCUGGAUUAAUUUGAAGAACUGGAAUGAAUCAGGACAGUAUGUUUUUUCAGUCCUUGACAUAAUAGCAGGCAAAAAUAAAGGACUCCAAAAGUUCCCAUUUGGCAGGAAGCAUAUGAGCAAAUAUUCUGGAUGUAUUUUUACAAUGGUUCAAUUAUUUAUUAUAAUAAUUUAUUUCCUCUUCUGAUUUCCAUAUACUGUAUCACCUUCGACUUAUCUCAUUCUGCAGCUGGAGAAGACAGGAAAGCCAAGCGUUCGCUUGAAAGGAAACCAGAAGAAAACUGAAACCUGAUCUAUGGUCUCCUUAUCCUCUGCUAGAAUAUAUGGCCACCACAGCUGAACUGGUCAUCUUGGCAUCUUCCCAAACAAGUUAGAGACUUAUGAACUAAAUGUCUCUGUACUUAAACCCUUUAAGGACUUUUAUCGCUAGAGGUGUUUGGACCUUGUUUUUAUGGGCAAGGAACUGAAGAGCAUCAACAACCAUUUUCACACAAAGAUAUGGCAGACCUCCAUUAAAGAACUCUGGCUGCUGAUAAAAUGACAAUCAUAACACACUAAGUUCUGGAGGACUGACAUCUGGCUCCUUGGCAGACACCUCAGGCAACUGCGGUAAUGACUUUGGAGAUGGCUGUGUAUCUGUAAUAGAGUUUUUUGUCUGGAUUGUAUUAACCUCUUACUCUCUAAGACAUUUUGUCCUAUAGCUCAUAUUGGAAUUACUGAACCACUCAUAACCCUGACUUACAAGCAUUUUCUUGUAUUUCAAUCUGCUACUGUGUGUUGGUUUUGCUGUUUGGGUUUGCCCCCCUCCCAGGAAGCUGUAAGCAUACUUUGCAAAAACUUCAAAAGGAAGGUUUUGUCAACUGGAAUUGUAUUUUUAAUGCUUGAUAAAACUGAAGAUUUUAGACAACACUUACUGCUUCUUAAGAAAAGGUGCUAUAAAGGAAGUGCAUACCUACUGAAUGCUUAGAAUUGAGAACUGCACCUCAAACUCACUUGUAUGAAACAACGAUUCUAAUUAUAAAAGUUAAAAAAGAAAAAAAUAAAUAUUUCUUAUAAGAAGAGUGUGUAUGAAAGUAUAAGGGCAAGUGUAGCAGGGAAGGAUGCUGCAACUGAAACCACACACUGUUGAAAGUUCAACGAAAACAAUAUUUAUUACGAAGAGGUGGCCAACAAAACGAAAACCCGAGAGAGAGGAAGGAGGAGGAAAAUUAGCCCUCAGUACAGCUCCCCAUCUCACCCAGACAUUGCUUAUGAAGUUUUGUUACUGACUCCAGAAUGCCUAAAAUUACCCAUAGCAGAAGCUGCAUUCUUGGAGUGUCGGCAGGCUCACAAGAUAGCGGGCGUCCCCGCAAAAGGCAACGUUGUCCUUUGAUGUGAAGCUUGCGGUCGCUCCCAGCACGAGCUAUCUGCUUAUUAUGCAAUUAAUUGUUGACAUCGCCCUGGGCAGGUAUGGCCAGCACUGCCCAGAUAGAGGCCUUCAGUGCUUCCCCCCAUUAUGUAAGUGGUAUCUCUUCUGAGCUUGCAUGGGUACUCUGGAAUGACCCCGCAUCUGCAUGCUGCACCUCAGGGGAUCUUUCCUAAAAGAGUCUGGGGGCUUACUUCAUCCUCCUCCUCUUCACUUUCUUCUACAAAUGCCCUUGAAAGGCCAUCAGCCAAUAGGAAGGUACCAAUUAAAUAUAGUUUAUACAAAAUGCUCCCUUCAAGGACAAAAGUUCUCGUUUAUCAGUGCUUGUUUUCUCCUAACUUGGCAGGAAAAGAAUAAACUCUCACAGGUGGCCGGGCCAACCACAAACCGAAAAAUAGCAGCAUCUAAUUAAGCAUGAAUACAGCAAGCAUAGCACACAGUAUUUUUAACUUGGAGCUGAAACAUUCUUGAAUGUUUUUAGGUCAAAAUAUUUGCCAAAUUAAUAGGGAAUGAAUGGAAAAUGUACUUUCUUCACUUUUUUGAGGUAUAUAGUAAAAUCUGUGUGAUCUAUUAAAUGUCAGUUAGAAGAUAUCUGAAAUCCUGUAUUUUGAAAUAAAAUCACUUUUUAACUCUC